rnacentral:rRNA from 1 species
GACGAACGCUGGCGGCGUGCUUAACACAUGCAAGUGGAGCGACGAAACCGGGCUUGCCCGGUGGCAGAGCCGCGAACGGGUGAGUAACACGUGGGUACCCUGCCCCGAUGAUUGGGACAACUCCGGGAAACCGGAGCUAAUACCAAAUGUGUUCACAUUCCUGAAGGGGCGUGAGGAAAGGAAGCUUCGGCCUCCGCAUCGGGAUGGGCCCGCGGCCCAUUAGCUUGUUGGUGGGGUAACGGCCUACCAAGGCGACGAUGGGUAGCUGGUCUGAGAGGACGAUCAGCCACACUGGGACUGAGACACGGCCCAGACUCCUACGGGAGGCAGCAGUGGGGAAUCUUGCGCAAUGCGCGAAAGCGUGACGCAGCAACGCCGCGUGCGGGAAGACGGCCUUCGGGUUGUAAACCGCUUUCAGUUGGGACGAAGCUUCGCCGGUGAAUAGCCGGCUGGAGUGACGGUACCUUCACAAGAAGCACCAGCUAACUACGUGCCAGCAGCCGCCGUAA